rnacentral:tRNA from 2 species
GUGGUUGUAGUUCAGCUGGUUAGAGCGUCAGAUUGUGGUUCUGAAUGUCGUGGGUUCGAAUCCCAUCAACCACC